GCUGCAGGCUGCUGACAGUCACAUGGUGUUGUAAAGUUCCUGGGAAAUCUGUAGCUCUCAGCAGAGGACCUUCCAGCACCAAUAGGACCAGGAAGCCUAUGGGGCUGGGCUCCCUUCUUUGUGAAAACUUGUACUCUGAGAAGACAUCCUGCCUUGCGUUUCUACACCACCGUCCCAGAAAGGCCAAAGGUGAUGAAGUGAAAAGGCCAACCUCGAGCAACUCCAGAUGACCUGUGACUCACAGUCAUUGAGAAGGGACGUGGCUGCUCUUCAGGAUGGAGGGCAGCGGGCUCUAGCUCAGGGUCCCAGUACUAGCUGCAGGCGGAAGACCUCACUGAAUGAAUCAUGACUGUCCCUGGAGGUGCGAGGCAGAAAAGGCUAAAGGACUCUCAGGAAGUCCAGCUCUAGGAGUAUGGCUGGCUCUGGGAAAGGCUGCAGUGGACGGCUGGUAAGGGGUCAUCCUGAGGAAUUUGAAGCUCUGAGGUAUUUCCGACACAGACAUCUGGACCAGCCUGGCCUGGGCAGACCUGCUGGGUUUGGAGAGCUGGCUUAGGGGUGAUAUGAAGAGGUCAUUUGUCUUUCAAUAGGACUGGGGACAGAGAGGGACAUCCCAUGCCCCUUCUGCGCUCUUUCAUGAAGCUUCUAAGGAAAUUCCAUUGCAUUGUAUUUACAAGACAUCCCCAACUGUCAGCUUCCUUGAACACAAUGUAUUUAAUAAAAAGCCAUUAAGCCUUGUAAAGCUGUCAGAAACCUAAAUGACACUUGUAAUAAAAUCUUGUCGGGUGACCUGUUCCGGUUAA